GACAUGAACUUCUGUUUCAGUUCGUUUUACAGGAAAGUGUCGCAACCAUGCUCAGCUCAGCAAUAUUUACCACCACAGAGCAGCAGGGGAAGCCCACCUCAGCAGCAGCGUCUGACAAGAGUUAAUGAAGCUGGAAAUGUCGGGUAGGCUCGAUGCCACUCAUUCUGCAAAGGGGGAAACCAGGAAGGCCUCCUUCCGUGGGACCCAACAGGCCCAUCUCAGGAAAGAGCAUCCCCUCUGCUCUCACGCCAGUCUUCCAGCACUGGACGCAUCACGGCUGGUUCCUGGCCGUGGGGAUGGAGGGCUGCCAGGCGACCAAGGGGCCGAGGGUCACCAUUAGUGCCCCUUCUUGAGGCAAGGGACAGUCUUCGGGACACUGUCGGCGGCCAGCCCAUCCCCUCCUCUUUCAGACAAGGAGCGGCUCAGGAAAGGGGUCCCACCAGGUGGUUGGGUCUGUGGCUCCUGCUUCCUGAGGGAGCUCCUUCCCCCAGCAGCCCAGGAGGACCUGGCGCACUCCCGCAGUCGCGGCCGGGAGGGUCGUCACCCGGUCCCCAGAACUCACACACCCUCAGGCCCCACUCUCAGCUGGGACUCUACUUCUCUCACUUUUCCUAACCUCUCCCCUCACGCAUUUGGGCCCAAAUUAACAACCGGGUUUUUCUUCUUUUCUCUUUCUUUCUUUCUUUUUUUUUUUUUACCACUUUCUUAGCCCCAGGCUCCCUUACAACAGUCUUCCACCAGCAAGCGCCAGGCUGCUGGGCAGCUCUGAGCAGGGAAACAAAGCAGCAGGGAAGAGGAGGUGGAGGCAGGCGUCGAGGCUCAGGGGCCAGUCCCAGAGGCUGUCCGGAGAACAAGGGACAUGUUCUCAGAAAACAGGCAACAUGCGAAUGUGGAGGAUUGGGAUUAGGGUCUCAGAGGUCAGCCCGAGCCAGCCCCAGUGAACACAGCCAGGCGUCAGGCCAGACAGCGAGGGUGUGGUCCCCCAGGAGCCACACCCCCAGGGAGGGCAUCUACACUGGGCUUCCAACCCCCAGAACACAGUCUUCCAGGGGCCGGCAAUGACCUGUGCCAGAAUAUGGGACAUUUUGCUCUCGCAGUGCAUGCCUGGGCUACCUACCCACAGAGCAGGGAAGGCUGGUCCGUUACCUGGCUUUCACGGUGAGAAGGCUUGACCUUGGGGUAUCAGUCGAAGGACACCUGAGCAGCCCCACUUCUGUCCCCAGCUCCAUGCUCUCUCCUUGGCAGAAACAUGAACGUAUCUGCACUUCCAGAUCUCAGGACCUCUCCAGACUUGUCAGAAUCUGGCUGGCUUGACCACAUGGUGACUGUGUUCCCCCCCAGAAGCCCCCAGCAAUGGGGAUGUGUCUAUUCCGAGGUCAUCGGGGCACACAGGUGUUGGGCACACUCACCUGGAGGCUGCCCUUCCCAGCCAUACCCCACCCCCCUCCCGUCUUCUGGAAGAAGCAAUAAGAACGCCAGAGUCUGGAAAUUGCUUGGAGGCUAGGGGGACCCUACGACCUGCUGUGGGCUCUGUCAGACCACCUGACUCAUUCCCAAGGGGUUUACACAGAGGUGCUAAUUCAGUCGGCACAAGGAGCCUUUUGGAGAAGAAGAAACUGAGGCUGGAACAGAGUCAGGAAGUGGCCAGCACUCCCUCCAUGUGGGGCGAGGCAUGGACUGCAGCCCAGGAAGCCCGGCCCAGAGCCCGUGCUCCAAGCCCCUACACUAUAAUUUGAGUCCUCCAGGGCUCCUGAUAUCUCAGAUUUAAUGUGGAAAAAUGGUUCCACUCUGUCUCACCCCAUACCCAAAAUAAACGCAGAGAGAUUAAAGGCAAAAAGUAUAAUUAUGAAAGAACUACAAGAGAAAAGAAAGUGCACACUCCCAGCAAAACAGGCAAGACCAGAACCUAACCCUUAAGGAGACAACUGACUAAGGAGACGGAGCUGACUACAAGAAAUCCAAGGACCUGCGUGCAGUGAAGAAGACCCCCUAGAAAGCUGAAAUGUGAAGCAAGAGACGGGAGCAGUAUCUGCAAGUCGGUCCACUGCCUGGCCCGCUCCUGCUCACCCGGCAGAUAAGACUGGCUCCGCCCCCCACAAGCUGCCCUGGGGCAGGCCUUAAUGACCCCAACACUGCCCUAAUCAUGGACUCGUGGGGUAAGUUCCUGGAUGGGUUGCUGAAGCACCCACGGUGUGCCCAUGCCUGGUCUAAGGAAGAGCUCCUGCACACGCAGCCCCACCCAAGGCAGAGGGCCAUCCCUGAGGGGAGGGAGUCAGGAGAGGUGACCCAGAGGUUGGGGACAUAGCCACCCACCCACAUGGCCACCCCACCCCACCCAGCAGAAGGCACAGCUCUUCCCCUGGGUGACGUCAAGUGCCCACCCCUCUGCAGACCAACCUCAGUGAGUGCGGGGAGUCUGGCCUCCUGUUCACCCCAGUUCAGGGCACCCCAGUCCACCUCACCCAGUUUCUCAGAUGAACCAGGUCUCAGAGCCACCAAGGGCAGGCAGGAUUUGGCCAGGCCUCAGACAUGGUCCUGGAACUUUAAGAGUCAAUUACCAUUUAAGUUAACGUGGCCCAGAGCCCAUUCCCCACUCUAAACCAAGGCUGAAGGCGGCCUCUCAUCCCCACUAGGGGUGUGUCCUCAAAGAAUGACCACAAACUGGGGUCAUGUCCCAAAGACACGGGCCCCAGUUUCCUCCCGUGACAGUGACCACAGGCCCUGGGAGAGGGGCUGGGAGGACUGGGGGAGCCCCAAGAGGUGAGUGCCAGGGGUGCCCCAGGUUGGAGGGAGGGGGUCUGGAUGUCAGAGGACCGGGCCACUGAGAUUCCCUCCUGAGGCCACGUGGAUCCUUCCACAUGCACCAGCUGCUGGGGCCUCUGCAGCUUCGGGCUUCCUUCCUCACGGGCUGUGGCCAGCCCUGCCCUAGGGGAGGAGCCCACACUGGCAGACCGCCCUGCCAGGCCAGGCGACGCUGGCCUGUGGUCCUGAAGUCCAACAAAGAACAACAAACUGACAUUCCAGCUGAACGCAAACUCGCCUGAAUUCCCACCCCGGAGCCCAUCUCAGGUUCCCCGUCCCUAGAGGAAGACUCUGGCCUCCCCGAAGAAACAAAGGCCCGGGCUGACAAGGCCUCUGUCCUGACUCCACUCCUGGCCCCACCCAGGCCCCCAGCCCAUGCCCCACAUCCACCCAGGCUCCUCCUGCCCCUCCCUGGGCUUGUGACCCACAAUCAGGCAGGAUUUUCAGCGACGCUGACACAACCUCAGUAGGACUGGGGUCUCCAGUCCCAUGAGACUUUGCUUCUCAUGCCCAAGGUGAAUGACCCCCUGCAAAUCUGCGGUCUUUCUGGAUUCUUGCCCUGACCCUGCCCUCAAUCUCACCCGGCAGCCAGAAAAGCCCACUGCUCUCCCACGCCCGGCCCAGCCCCAGAAGGCCUCCAGCCUCACCUGAGUCAGAUUCCUUCCCGGCUCUAUGCGGUGCUGGUCGUGCCCAGCUCACCCGUGAGGUGCCCAGGCUGCGAAGGACACAGACUUCCUGGGAAGUGGCUCUUAAGCUCAUCCCAAAGGGUGUACCCUUGGACCCGCUGGGCUUGGCCGCACCUUCAUGCCCAUCUCCUGGGUUGGGCGGGGCAGAUGCCGGGCUCUGCCAAUGUCUGAAAGCAGCUGGCGUCUCACCAGGCCACGGGCCCCGCGGGGCCCUGCUUGGGCACCUGCCAGGCCUACUCGGGCCCCAGGGACCGGCGUGGUGUUAGAAUAGGCCCUUGUCACUACAGCAGUGCCCAUACACCAGCCCCGAAUGCCUCUGGGGGUGAGACACAGCCCGGCCCCUUGCCCUUGUGGGCCAUGCUCCCCUACCCCUGCCUGGAGGCCUCUCCAGUGCAGCCUGGGCCUCCUCGUUCCUUGGCCUCCGCUCUGUCCUGAACCCAGAAGCCCCUAGCUCCAGCUGAGGCCACGUUCCAGGCAGAAACAGACCCUCCCAGCAUUACAUGGGGGUCUGCGGACACGCACAGGCAGAGCCCCAGGGGCCCUCAGGUCCUUCCCAUCUGUGCAGGAGCCAGGGUCUGAAAGACCAUUGCCAGAGCAGAGCAAGGCCUGACUGACCACCAGGGGCCCACCAGCGAGCCAGUGCUGUCUCCGGAACCUCUGAGGAGAGGGUCUAUCCUCGGGAGCCUCCAAGGGUGACCCAACCCUAAAGCAUGAGGGCCUCUGGUGCCAUCUUCACCUCCUGACCUGGGCAGUACACAGUCAGGGCUCCCAGGCAGCUCCUCCAGAGGGCGAGAGAAGACGUUCAGGGAGCCCAGAGAUAGUGAGGAGGCUGGGAAAGCCGAGGGUCUGGGCACUCCAGAGGAGGGCUGUGGGGCAAAAACCCUCAUCAGAGUCUCCACCCCUGAGGCCGGCCUGAAGGAGGACGCGGUGGCAGUCCCGACGGAGCCGGGUGCACAGGGAGCGACGCGGCCGCACGGCCAGGGCCACACCCCAGGGUCUCCGGCACAAGCAGCAGAAGAGGGUUUCGAUCCCAGCAAUCCCACUCAUGCCCACGGGGACCCAACAGUUUUUUAUUCCAGGACAUUCACAUGUUUAGUUAAAACAGGAAAUGAAGUCUGUGAGAAACAGCAUCCCACACACACUCCCGGGGCAGUAGGCUCUUCCUGUGGCCUCAGCCCCAGCCACCUCCACACGGCCCCAGGGAGGGACCCCCAGGCACGGCCCACGUCCUGUCCAACCCCCGCGUUCCUGGGCUGCUUGUUCUCGGAAGCAUUCCAGCACGUGCACGGACACACACUUCUGCACACGCGUGUGAGCAUAUACGUGCGUGCUUGCACAGGUGCACCAGGCUGGGCUCCGAAGCCCUAUGCAGCCACGGCUGGCUGUAUGGGCUCACAGGGCACAGGGGCAAAUGUGGGGGUGGGGCUGGAGAUCGAGCAACUCUGCCAGGGCUCCCUUGCCGUGAACGACUCUUCCCACGCCAGAAUCCCCCCCACAGCUGGGGAGCACAGGUCGGUCCCACUCCGCAGCUGGGCACCUGGGACCAGCCUGGCGGGGGAAUGUGAUCAUAAGUUUCCAUCUUUUUUAGACCCACCGCCCUGGGUGUGACGCUAUCACGGAGGCGGUCACAGGUGUUGGGGAUCAGCCACCAUUUCUCUGUGGAGUUGACACCACUGGCCUUAACUCCCGUUCCAUUUGGGAAGCACCAUCAGAAGGGCCACUCACCCCUUUCUGAGGCCAUGUUACUGAGGUGGCAGGCAUGGCCACACCUCCAGACGAAGCCCCCGCUGACAUGGUGGCCACCCCAGAGAGGGUUCUGGCCCCCCAGCACUCCAAGUGGCCGCUGCAACAGGCUGGGGGCUCACAGGCCUCGGGAGGUAUUAGGGCUCAAUUCCGCCUAGAUCGUCCUGGUGGCCCGGAGGCCUGUGACUGAGGUCAGGCUUCCCGGGAACACCCAGGCACCCACCAGUGCCUUUGGUAGGUGGCUUUUGUGGACGGAGCUCCCUGGCAGCCACCCCGUGUUAUGCCCCCACGGCCCACCACCCUUGCCACAUGGAAGGGCCCCACUGGCUUAAGGUCCCAGGGAUGGCUAUGCCCGGGCCCGUCCUCUCCUCUUCCUGUCCCAGGAGGGCCUGGCUCCCCGCUUGUGGCCUCAGCCUCUGGGACCCCAUGUCCCUCUGUAGAAGGAAGAGAUUUUAAGAAGGACAGACAGGCAGGGAAAUGACCAGAGGUGGGGGGACGUCCCUCGGCCACACAACUUGCCACACACACCCUGUCCCCCUAGCGCACUGUUGAGCACGUCUUCACAGAAAGCACAGUGCUUCAGGGUCACCUGUCACGCGGCUGGCCAGAGUAAGGAGGACAGAAGCUCCCCCAGACCAGAAACUCACCUUCAGACCUGGACAUUCAACAGAACAACGGCUUUAUUUGUGCUUUCCACAAAAGCUGUUUCUGUAGCAGAAAAUGCAUGAGGUUGACCUGAGAAGUUUCCUUUGACUUAAAUAUGCAACAGAUGUUGUGAGCCAAUGUUUUAAUUGACCCGAAGGAUGCCCCACCCAUGGCCGCCCUCAGAAGACCAGCAUUCCCCAAGAGCCACCACGUUGGCCAGCAGCUCCAGGACUCUCAACCAGCUGGGGCUGUGCAGGUGAGUCGGGACCCAGGAUCAGGGCCUUCAUCCCAAGAGACACUAACAGAGGCCCCACCGAGGCCUGUGCUGGCACAGUGAGGCCAAGAUGGAAAGCCCUUUCUUGGCCUCAGGACUUUCUUCACUGCCACCUUCAACCUUGCCGCAGACGUGAAGCUGUGAGAAGAAGAACCUCGUCUCUUUACAUCCAUCCAGCCCCUCGCAGAGAAGCAGCCCCCUCGGCAGGGGACCUGCGGCGAGGGGACCUGAAUGGCUGGUGCAUUUUCCACAGCUUGGGCUUGACCAUCUCUGGGAUGGUGACUGGUGGGAAUGGGCACCAAAGUGAAGUUCUUUGAGAGGAAGGCCCUAAUCCUGCAGGCACGGAGUGAGUGGAGCCAGCAAAACAGGGAACUCACUCAGGAGCCGGAGGGCACGGCAGGCAGGGAUGGCCAUCCGAGGGCUGGAGCGGACACGGGGGUGGGUGAGGCUUAGGGCAGGCGGAUGCCAGGACCUUCAAGGACUGAGGGGUAUGUGUGUGUGUAUGUCUGUGUAUCUGAUUGUACGGUAGGUGGACAGACAGAAAGGUGUAGCAGCUGCGGAUGGCUGGACAGUCAGACAGGACAGAGGAGCUGACAUAGACGCGUAAGGGUUUGUGCUGUGUGUGUGCUGGGUUCCACAGUGGGUGAAAACAUGGGCUUUGAAACCCAGCAGACCCGAGUUCGAGUGUCAGACCAACUGAUUAAAUCCAAAGGACCCGGA